rnacentral:misc_RNA from 1 species
GGGAAGAGAGAGAAACUGAUAAAGUAAUUAUUUUCUUUGAUUUGCUUGUGCUUUUAUGGCUUUACUAGAUUUUUAGAUUUACCAUUUUCUUUGAAGCUGGGAAGAAUUAGUGGAUCAAUUUUUGUUUUUGAGAAAUUUGAAUUUUAGUGCUAUUUUCUAUGAGGUCGGUGAUUCAAUUGCUGUGUUUUUGUAUUUCAGUGUGACAUUUUUAAGGUGUUUUGGAUUUUAGGUUUACUUUCCUUCCAGUGUCUUUGAUUUAAUAGGUUAUGUUUUAAAAUACUUGAUUAUUGUGAGCAAUUUAUCAUCUUAGAAUUAAUUUGG